rnacentral:rRNA from 1 species
CUUAGCCCUAAACCUAAAUAAUUAUAAAACAAAAUUAUUUGCCAGAGAACUACUAGCCACCGCUUAAAACUCAAAGGACUUGGCGGUACUUUAUAUCCACCUAGAGGAGCCUGUUYUAUWAUCGAUAAACCCCGCUAAACCUUACCCCCCCUUGCUAAUUCAGCCUAUAUACCGCCAUCGUCAGCAAACCUUAAAAAAGAAUUAAAGUAAGCAAGAGUAUUCACAUAAAAAAGUUAGGUCAAGGUGUAGCCAAUGGGGUGGAAAGAAAUGGGCUACAUUUUCUCUACCAAGAACACUACGAAACCCCUUAUGAAAUUAAGGGGCAAAGGAGGAUUUAGUAGUAAAUUAAGAAUAGAGAGCUUAAUUGAAUAGAGCAAUGAAGUA